rnacentral:rRNA from 1 species
UACGUAGGUGGCAAGCGAUACUCGGAAUCACUAGGCGUAAAGCGCAGGUAGGCGGUUUGGUAAGUCUUUUGUGAAAGCUCCCGGCUCAACUGGGAGAGGUCAAGGGAAACUACCGGACUAGAGUGUGGUAGGGGAUACUGGAAUUCCUGGUGUAGCGGUGAAAUGCGUAGAUAUCAGGAGGAAUACCUACGGCGAAAGCAGGUAUCUGGGCCAUCACUGACGCUGAGCUGCGAAAGCUAGGGGAGCAAACAGG